GUCAUGGCUACAUCAGUUGAAAACAUGCAUCCAUGUUGUCCUAUUAGCAGUGGGGUUUGUCCAUUUUUCCCCACAGAAAUCUCAGGUAUAUAUUGAAAAACUUCUUAUUUACUAUACGAUACGGAAAACGGCACUAAGAAGAAAUGGCCCAUCAAGACUCUCUCAGUGCAGACUGGAAAGAAAACAGAAGCAGGCCUGGAAUCCAAUAACCAACCACUCCCCAAAACGGAUGCUUUAUUUAUCCCACAUUCACUAGAAAUGAAGGGACAGGUACAACUGAAAAGAAACUUGCCUUCUAUAAGCUAGACUUGACCAGACAGUGAAUUAAAUACUCUGGAAAUGCC